AAAUUAUCGGAGGAUUUGACCUGAAUUCAUAAUU
ncrna:unclassified sequences S4-Flavobacteria ribosomal protein leader